rnacentral:rRNA from 1 species
GUGGGGAAUAUUGGACAAUGGGCGAAAGCCUGAUCCAGCCAUGCCGCGUGUGUGAAGAAGGUCUUCGGAUUGUAAAGCACUUUAAGUUGGGAGGAAGGGCAGUAAGUUAAUACCUUGCUGUUUUGACGUUACCGACAGAAUAAGCACCGGCUAACUUCGUGCCAGCAGCCGCGGUAAUACGAAGGGUGCAAGCGUUAAUCGGAAUUACUGGGCGUAAAGCGCGCGUCGGUGGUUUUGUAAGUUGGAGGUGAAAACCCCGGGCUCAACCUGGGAACUGCCUCCAAAACUGCAUGACUAGAGUACGGUAGAGGGUAGUGGAAUUUCCUGUGUAGCGGUGAAAUGCGUAGAUAUAGGAAGGAACACCAGUGGCGAAGGCGACUACCUGGACUGAUACUGACACUGAGGUGCGAAAGCGUGGGGAGCAAACAGGAUUAGAAACCCCAGUAGUCC